AACUUUUAGCAAUGGGUCUCUUGGCUCUCGCAUCGAUGAAGAACGCAGCGAAAUGCGAUAAGUAAUGUGAAUUGCAGAAUUCAGUGAAUCAUCGAAUCUUUGAACGCACCUUGCACCCUUUGGCAUUCCGAAGGGUAUGCUCGUUUGAGUGUCAUUGUACUCUCACACUCCCGAUGCUUUUGGAUUGGGAGUGGUGGACUUGGGUGUUGCUGCUUUACUGUGGCUCACCUCAAAUGGAGUAGUGCAACUCUUGGUUGGACAUAGUACGGCGUGAUAAGUGUCUUCGCCGGCGCCUCAUUAGAGGGUGGCCGAUCGGGAGCUCUGUGCUUCAAACCGUCUUCGGACAACAUCUGACAACUUGACCUCAAAUCGAGUAGGACUACCCGCUGAACUUAAGCAUAUCAAUAAGCGGAGGCU
rnacentral:misc_RNA from 1 species